rnacentral:rRNA from 1 species
GACGAACGCUGGCGGCGUGCUUAACACAUGCAAGUCGAACGGUAAGGCCCUUCGGGGUACACGAGUGGCGAACGGGUGAGUAACACGUGGGUGAUCUGCCCUGCACUUCGGGAUAAGCCUGGGAAACUGGGUCUAAUACCGGAUAGGACUCCUGCCUGCAUGGGUGGGGGUGGAAAGCUUUUGCGGUGUGGGAUGGGCCCGCGGCCUAUCAGCUUGUUGGUGGGGUGAUGGCCUACCAAGGCGACGACGGGUAGCCGGCCUGAGAGGGUGACCGGCCACACUGGGACUGCGAUAGUGCCCAGACUCCUACGGGAGGCAGCAGUGGGGAAUAUUGCACAAUGGGCGCAAGCCUGAUGCAGCGACGCCGCGUGAGGGAUGACGGCCUUCGGGUUGUAAACCUCUUUCAGCACAGACGAAGCGCAAGUGACGGUAUGUGCAGAAGAAGGACCGGCCAACUACGUGCCAGCCGCCGCGGUAA